rnacentral:tRNA from 1 species
GCUGGCGUAGCUCAAUUGGUAGAGCACCUGUUUUGUAAGCAGGUGGUUCGGGGUUCAAGUCCCCGCGCUAGCUCCG